GCAUCGGUGGUUCAGUGGUGGAAUGCUCGCCUGCCCGGAUUCGAUUCCCGGCCGAUGCA
rnacentral:tRNA from 1 species